UCCUAUUACUUUGACAUUGACAACCAAGAAAAAGACUUGCAUGUAAUUAAGGAAACCCUAAAAGCUUUAGCGAUGACUCCAAGCAUGGUAAAAAAAACCUGCUUCAAUAUUUCUUACUGGUAUGAGAAAAAAAAUGAAGGGAUACGUAAGGAAAAAACUAUUCAACAUUUUUCACCAACUGCAUGGAACUUGCGAACAAAGAAGAAACCAAUUCUCGAUUCGAGGAUGAGGAGCGGGAUGCGGGGAAAUUCCAAACAAAUGGGAUUGAUCUGGUCCUCUCAACAAAGCGUGGAAGGUGGGUUAACUAGAUCUUCAGUAUCAGGUGAUUAGAAGACUGAAAACUAUCUUAAAAUUUUGGAGGAAUCAGAUUUAAAGAGAAAAUCCAAAGGUGAUUGAGGUUAUACAUGAAUUUAUGUUUAUCGUCUGAUCUCUUUGUGCCAGCAUUUAGAUCACCAACUAUUUAGAUUGGUCAUGAUUAGGUUUUUUUGGUAAAGUUUUUAAUGAUAUAGCCCGCAUUAUGGAAAGAGUAACAAUGCAAUUGAACAUUCUCAUACCCUAACACUUGAGAUAAAUAACAGAUUAAAUAAAAUAGUUUUGUUCAAGUUGA